UUUUAUGAGAGUUUGAUCCUGGCUCAGGACGAACGCUGGCGGCGUGCCUAAUACAUGCAAGUCGAACGCUUCUUUUUCCACCGGAGCUUGCUCCACCGGAAAAAGAGGAGUGGCGAACGGGUGAGUAACACGUGGGUAACCUGCCCAUCAGAAGGGGAUAACACUUGGAAACAGGUGCUAAUACCGUAUAA
rnacentral:rRNA from 1 species